CACUUUGCACGACCAUUACUCUGAAAAACAGAGAGAAAAGAAAACCAAAAACCAUUUCUUGGCAGGUUUGAAGAAAUUCUAAGGAUAUCCAAGUGAAAUCAAAGCCAAAGAAGUGGAUUAAGCUUAGUUCUAGCCUUUUUAUGAUAUUUCUUAGUGGUUUCCAAGUGGUUUGAGGUUUAGAAAAGCUAGAAGAGAUUGCUUUCGCCGAAAAGUUGCUCGGAUAAGCACAUCAACACCUAAGACACCACUUGUUACACGGUGAAUUAUAUUUUGGACAGAAGGUAGAGAAAGAAAUGAGUGAAUGACAUAAGGAGAACUGAAGCAUGGUCCUGACCCUGAUUUGUACAUAUGAACACAUCGACCUUUUGUGGGUUAUUUCAGUUUACCAAUGUGAUAAUUGUAAUAAAGUGUGAAGUUAUGUUUUGAAAACAAUUUGGGUUAUUUAAUACUUAUGUAUAAUAUGUUUGAGACACACUUUAUGUUUAA